CCUUUGGUGCUUAUCUGAGUACGUCUGUCAGUCUUGAUAGGCUUGGAGACAGAGGAGCUUCUUUAUCUGGGUUCUUUGCUUCUUCUGGUAUUGUUCUUUAUGCAAGAAGCUUCAGAAAUUUGCAUUUUCCUUUGCCCUUUGUAUUAGGCAGAGGUUUCUUAGAGUAAAAGGUUGAAAAUUCAACAGAUAACUCUACAAGCUAAAUUAGAAAUGCUUAAUUCAUUUUGUUAACCUAACUCUAAAAAUCUCUGUUUCACCUCGAGAGCUGUCACAGAGCAGAAGGGCAGCUGAGAUGCUGAAAAGCAGCAAAGCUGAACAGCCUGCCUCAGCUUCAGCAGUGUGCAAUUGACUGAAGGCGAAACACGAAGCAGCAGAGCAGCGGGCUUCUCUGCCACCGUGUUCUCUGCAUCUCGGAGCCUCUGGGGAGCAACAAGAAUUUCCAAGGUGGUGUAAGAGCCCGUCUGAAGCCCCUCAUUUUCCGUUCUGCCUUCCGAUUGCCACGAGAAAGAAUCCCUUCCUCCACUGCAGUUCCGGCUUAGAACAGGACACAGUGCAGGUGCAACCACUGAACCGUCAUGCUAGCUGUUCCGAACAAGGCCUGGCAAGAACUUGGCAAGGACUUGGCAAGGACUUGGCAAAGACCUGACGUGGACCCAGCACGGGACAGCCUGAUGCGCGGCCUGCUUCUAAUCUCCGUUCUUAAGCCAAAUGAACUUUUGGGGUGACUCCCGGGGUCCUUCAUUGAAGACCCCUCAUCUGCCUCGUUACCAGUGUGACAAACAAAGAAUGAGAACCCUCCUCCCAAGGACUGAGACUGAGACCCCUGCUAUAGGGAGGAGGGGAAAUUGGUGGUCUGACCACUAAUGACAUGACCUGUUUCCCUUCAGUGAUUCAAAUGGACUUAUUCUUCAUUGGAUUCGUCUUGCUUUGGUGGUUUCUGUGGACUCACCUGUUCCCGCGUGGCGAUUACAAUGGACUUUCGUUGUUACACUUGCUCCCCCCUCUUUCCUCUGUGGACUAUAACUGGAGCCCCGAGUCGACCAGAACUUCGGAGACUCCCCCGACACGACAGACGGAUCCCCAUCGUCCGGACCACUGAGGAUCUCGCCUGUGUUGAAGAACUCCGAGGGACAUGAAGACCACCUAAUCCAUGAUCAAACUGGCUUGGACAACCUGGCUGCGACAGUGGAACCCUCCUAAAAAACGGGUGCCAAGAGACAUAACUGGUGUUGUGGGAACAGAAUUGGGAAUCAAUUCAGAGCUCCAGUUACCUUACAUGAACUUUUAGAAUCCAAUCUCAUGUUGAUUCACAAGUUACUGCCUACUCCCAUUGGGAUGAACCUUACUUUGGUAAAGCAACUAUUACUUCAGCAAGAUCUAAUAGAGAUCCUAGGAAAAAUCAAGGAGAAUGGACAGAAAACUCUGGUAACUGUUCAUCAUGAUGUGCAAGAAAUACAUCGUGUUGUAGAAAGGGUGGAAAGUGAUGCCGAGCACAAGUGGUGGGAUACCCUUUACGGGUGGUCACCCACCGCCACCGGUAUCCUGAACAAAUUGUGCCAUCCCGUUGUUGUUCUUCUGAUUUUAGUUAUGAUUGGUUUUUUUUUAUCAGUAAUCUUGCUUAUUGUAAAUUGGAGAAUGAUGAAACGAUGAACAAAAUUAACAUCUAUAAUUAAUGCACACCACUUGGCCGACAUCCUUUACACUAUAGAUGUUCCCAGGACUAUAGACACAAGAAGAUUAUAGGGUUGGUAGAUAUGUUUUACAUCAUUUUCUUUUAUGAUUUGUUUUAAUCACUGUUUUAAUUAUUUUUGUUUCUUGAUUAUAAAAUUAUACUGAGUAAUAUCGAUGAUACUAGGUUUAAUACUUUACUGCUUAAUAUUGAUUAUACUGGUUUAUUAUUUGAUCAAUUUAUUGUUUAAUUGAUUAAUAUUGAUUAUUAUUUAAAC